rnacentral:rRNA from 1 species
GAUGAACGCUGGCGGCGUGCCUAAUACAUGCAAGUCGAGCGAACGGACGAGAAGCUUGCUUCUCUGAUGUUAGCGGCGGACGGGUGAGUAACACGUGGAUAACCUACCUAUAAGACUGGGAUAACUUCGGGAAACCGGAGCUAAUACCGGAUAAUAGUUUGAACCGCAUGGUUCAAAAGUGAAAGACGGUCUUGCUGUCACUUAUAGAUGGAUCCGCGCGGCAUUAGCUAGUUGGUAAGGUAACGGCUUACCAAGGCAACGAUGCAUAGCCGACCUGAGAGGGUGAUCGGCCACACUGGAACUGAGCCACGGUCCAGACUCCUACGGGAGGCAGCAGUAGGGAAUCUUCCGCAAUGGGCGAAAGCCUGACGGAGCAACGCCGCGUGAGUGAUGAAGGUCUUCGGAUCGUAAAACUCUGUUAUUAGGGAAGAACAUAUGUGUAAGUAACUGUGCACAUCUUGACGGUACCUAAUCAGAAAGCCACGGCUAACUACGUG